UUUGGCAGAAAAAGAGAAAGAGAGAGCAAGCGCACAAGCAGGGGAAGCUGCAGAGGGAGAGGGAGAAACAGACCCCUUGCUGAGCAAGGACUCUGGGAUCAUGACCUGAGCCAAAGAUAGACGCUCAACCCACUGAGCCACCCACGUGCCCCUCUUUUUUACUUUAGAUGAUAGAGCUGAUUGAACCAAAAUGCUCUGAUCAGACUAGUUAUUGUACUAAGAAAUUUGAAUGGAGCUCCACAGGCACUGAGUAGUUACUCUAACACAUCUGUAAAGCCCGUAACCCAGUCCUACCUUCCCUGACUUCGGAGGCUUCAAUGGUCACUCUGAGCCACCAUCUAUCCUUCUGCUGUGUUCCUUCUGUGUUCAGGGUAGCUGGAGGCUGCUCUUGCUCUUGGGCAAAGGAGUCAUGGCAAAGAUGCUGACUCAAGAAGCAGCCCUAACUUUCCGUAAAGUACUGGAACUUCAACACAACCUAGAGCUACCUGGAGGAGCUAAAAUGUUCAUUAUCAUUCCCGGCUAGGAUACUGGAACAUCCAAAAGAGGAAUGUAAUGAGCAAUAGUAUGUAAAGUUUAAAACAAGAGAAAGAAUUAGAGAAUGAUGAACACUUCCUCCCCAGGUACAGACCCUGUUGUCUGGCACGAAGUGGAGUUUGACAUAAGCCUUGGGGUGACCCCUACACACGCCCAUCGUGAAGUCUUCCUGUAAAGCCCAGGGGGCAGGCGUGAUGACUUUCAAAGACUGAGCAGUUCUUUCAUUUUUACAUUUAUCUGAGAUUUCAUGAGCAUUUUAGUUUGGAAGGAGAGCUAGCUUUUAAACAGUUAAGUGUACAAGCAAUUCAAAACGGAUAUUUUUCAGUUAUUAGUUUAGAUGUUUUUACGUUUCCAGAGGUGAAGGCAGAAUUUAGAAAUUCUUUGAAAGACUAUUUUUAUUGAUUCAUGGAGGAAAUGUAUAAGAUUUUAAACCAUUAAAAUGGAAUAAACUGUUCCACAGGAGUGAAUUUUCCAGGUAAAUGGACACCAAUUAAUCAAAGCUUCCAAAUGUGCAUUAGAGAAAGGUUAACAUUUUAAAAAAUAUUCAUUUUUUUCAUUUCUUAAACCAAGAACCUGGGAUAAAAUCAACAUUUUCUCAAGGGGCAAUCAAGGGAUGUAAUGCUAUUUUUACCACUUGCUUCUAGUGGUUCCACUUUUCUAGUUUUCUGUCUAUAUCAGAAAACCUUCAAGAGUUAGUAUUGACCCCAGACCUGAGAAUAUAAGCCUUUUUCCAUGUGGCAGUGUAACAAUCUUCAGGGACUACUAUUAUUUGAGUCUUAUUGCUUUCUCAGCAGUUUUCUGGGUUUUACAUUUUAAAGAUGGGACAAAACUCCUAACUCCAGAGAAAGCCCUUUGAAACCUCACUUGCUUCUUUCCUGAAUUCUUGAGAGCAAAGGUGACAUAAAUGCUUCCAUUGAUGGCAUGCUUUCAUCUACAUGAAUUUGACGGAGCCUGGACUCUAAAUUGGUGCUGGGGAAACUGGCUGAAUACUGUUGAAGAACGUAGCAUUUUGCUGGCUAUAAUUUUACUGAGAUGUGAUCAUGGGGCAUCUCAGGGUAAAUACCCUCGAUAUUUAAAUUGAGUGCACUUUCCCUCAAUUUA
rnacentral:lncRNA from 1 species